rfam:Aedes aegypti strain Liverpool supercont1.502 genomic scaffold, whole genome shotgun sequence.
GGCUCGGUAGCUUAGUUGGUAAAGCGCUCGUCUAGCAUACAAGAGUCCUGGGUUCAAAUCCCAGCCGAUCUA